GUUAUAGGGUCAAGCGAACAAGUGCAUGUGGUGGAUGCCUUGGCGAUCACAGGCGAUGAAGGACGCGGUAGCCUGCGAAAAGCUACGGGGAGCUGGCAAACGAGCUUUGAUCCGUAGAUGUCCGAAUGGGGAAACCCACUCCUUAUGGAGUAUCCAUGGCUGAAUACAUAGGCCAUGCGAAGCGAACGCGGUGAACUGAAACAUCUAAGUAACCGCAGGAAAAGAAAUCAACCGAGAUUCCCAAAGUAGUGGCGAGCGAAAUGGGAUGAGCCUUGUACUCUUUAUUUGUAUUGUUAGCCGAACGCUCUGGAAAGUGCGGCCAUAGCAGGUGAUAGCCCUGUAGGCGAAAACAGUAUGAAAGAACUAGGUGUACGACAAGUAGGGCGGGACACGUGAAAUCCUGUCUGAAGAUGGGGGGACCAUCCUCCAAGGCUAAAUACUCGUGAUCGACCGAUAGUGAACCAGUACCGUGAGGGAAAGGCGAAAAGAACCCCGGGAGGGGAGUGAAAUAGAUCCUGAAACCGCAUGCAUACAAACAGUCGGAGCCUCGUAAGGGGUGACGGCGUACCUUUUGUAUAAUGGGUCAGCGACUUACGUUCAGUAGCAAGCUUAACCGUAUAGGGCAGGCGUAGCGAAAGCGAGUCCGAAUAGGGCGUUCAGUUGCUGGGCGUAGACCCGAAACCAGGUGAUCUAUCCAUGGCCAGGAUGAAGGUGCGGUAACACGUACUGGAGGUCCGAACCCACUAACGUUGAAAAGUUAGGGGAUGAGCUGUGGAUAGGGGUGAAAGGCUAAACAAACCUGGAAAUAGCUGGUUCUCUCCGAAAACUAUUUAGGUAGUGCCUCGUGUCUCACCUUCGGGGGUAGAGCACUGUCAUGGUUGGGGGGUCUAUUGCAGAUUACCCCGCCAUAGCAAACUCCGAAUACCGAAGAGUGCAAUCACGGGAGACAGACAUCGGGUGCUAACGUCCGGUGUCAAGAGGGAAACAACCCAGACCGCCAGCUAAGGUCCCCAAAUAUGGCUAAGUGGGAAACGAAGUGGGAAGGCUAAAACAGUCAGGAGGUUGGCUUAGAAGCAGCCACCCUUUAAAGAAAGCGUAAUAGCUCACUGAUCGAGUCGUCCUGCGCGGAAGAUGUAACGGGGCUAAGCCAUAUACCGAAGCUGCGGAUGCG
rnacentral:rRNA from 1 species